UACAGAGGGUGCGAGCGUUAAUCGGAAUUACUGGGCGUAAAGCGUGCGUAGACGGUUUCGUAAGUCGGGUGUGAAAUCCCCGGGCUCAACCUGGGAAUUGCAUUCGAAACUGCGAGGCUAGGGUACGGAAGAGGGAAGCGGGAAUUUCUGGUGUAGCGGUGAAAUGCGUAGAUAUCAGAAGGAACAUCAGUGGCGAAAGCGGCUUCCUGGUCCAGUACCGACGUCAGGCACGAAAGCGUGGGGAGCAAACAGG
rnacentral:rRNA from 1 species